rnacentral:rRNA from 1 species
GUGGGUAACCUGCCUCAUAGAGGGGGAUAGCCUUCCGAAAGGAAGAUUAAUACCGCAUAAUAUAGUUUAACCGCAUGGUUAGAUUAUCAAAGGAGUAAUCCGCUAUGAGAUGGACCCGCGGCGCAUUAGCUAGUUGGUGAGGUAACGGCUCACCAAGGCGACGAUGCGUAGCCGACCUGAGAGGGUGAUCGGCCACAUUGGAACUGAGAUACGGUCCAAACUCCUACGGGAGGCAGCAGUGGGGAAUAUUGCACAAUGGGCGAAAGCCUGAUGCAGCAACGCCGCGUGAGUGAUGAAGGCCUUCGGAUUGUAAAGCUCUGUCUUUGGGGACGAUAAUGACGGUACCCAAGGAGGAAGCCACGGCUAACUACGUGCCAGCAGCCGCGGUAAUACGUAGGUGGCAAGCGUUGUCCGGAUUUACUGGGCGUAAAGGAUGCGUAGGUGGAUAUUUAAGUCAGAUGUGAAAUACCCGAGCUUAACUUGGGAACUGCAUUUGAAACUGAAUAUCUAGAGUGCAGGAGAGGUAAGUGGAAUUCCUAGUGUAGCGGUGAAAUGCGUAGAGAUUAGGAAGAACACCAGUGGCGAAGGCGACUUACUGGACUGUAACUGACACUGAGGCAUGAAAGCGUGGGGAGCAAACAGGAUUAGAUACCCUGGUAG